AAUGACUGCGCUUGGAACCAAAUGGAGCCAACUUGGAACCAAGUAAAAAAACAAACAAAAAACCAGGUGUUUGGAGUGAGAAGAUUCUGUUAGAACUUGAGAGUUUUUCAUUUUAACUCUUAUUGAAUCCCUCAUCUGAAAGAUUAUUGGGCAAGAAUUGGGCAGUAAAACCAGCCCCACCCCACUCCCAGUAAAGAGAAUGUUCCAGGUGGCCAAGGUGGAGUUGAGUGCAGAAGAUGGGUACCAGGUGGCAGCUGCUGCUACCCCACACAACUACAGCAGAGGCAAUGUCCCUGGGGCAGCUGGAAGGCCCACGCAGGGUCAAGGUUUGGUUAGGCUACCCUAGCUGCUGCUCUAGGGCCAGUGUCUGGGUUCAGGGGACUCUUGAGGGUCCCGCCCUGUCCCCACUGAGUGUAGGGACACUCUUGUGGCCAGGCACUAGGACCGUUGCCCCCACCCCAACUUGAGAGGCCAGUGCCUCUUUGGUUCAUCCAUCUUUGAGGUUCAAGGGGGCAGGGGGUACCCCCAGUUCUUGUUAUCACUCCCCCUCCCAACUCUGAGGUCUCUGUCUCUCCCUGUCUCUUACCUACCCAUCUUCCCCUCCCCACAUCCCCCUCAAAUUCCAAAUGUGCCCUUUGGGGUGCCCUAGGCCAGCCCUCCCUUCUCUGGGUGUCCCAGCCCUAGCCUGACAAAAAGUGGGGCUCCGUAAGAGUAUGUGGGAUGUGUGUGUGGCCAGGUGAGCGAGUGCACAGGCGUGACCGCCACUCCUCAGCAGUCAGGUGGGCCCCCGGGGAGAGCUAGAGGUCAGAGGGGUGGUGGGCGGCCCUGGCCCCUUCCCCUGGGAGUGGGUAGCUUCCUCUCCGCAGCCCCAUCACGGGCUCCUGGGUUGUGCCCUGCACUGGCUCGCGCGUCCACUCAGUCAUCCAACAGUUGAUCCUCACCGAGCAAUGCCACAGUCGUGGCCCCGGGCUGGGCACCUGCCACUUAGUUCAUCCCUUGAUGGCCUCUGCUUCUCGGGGGUGAGCAUGCCGGGAGGUUGUCCCAGAGCCUGGAUUCUGGCUCUGGCAGGCUGGCAAGAGGGUGCAGGGAGCCUGGUUGGUUUGGCCUCAGACCUGCCCGCACGAAAGCUCUGCCUCCGGGUGAGCUGCAACCUGCCUCCUCUGCCCCUAUCCCCACCCCUUCCUAGAGCCAGUCUGGCAGCUGUUUGAACCCCUGGCCUGAACCACGAGGGGUGCACGGGAACAGCUGCAGUGUGUGUCCCAGACUUGGGCCCACAGGUCUCCCCCUGGAGGCGGGGUCCGUAAUCUGGACCCUUUCUCCUUGUGGAUCCUCCCUCCUGGGGCUCCGUCCAGCUCGUAGCCUUCCGUCCGCUGGCUGGGGCCUGGGUCCCUUGCGAAGGGGCCAUGGCUGGGAACCUUCAUGGUGCACCUGUAGGCUCUGCCCUUUCCUGGCCAUUCUGCUCUCUGCUCUAUCCAUGGCCCAACGCUCUGCUUGUCUCUCCGUUGGCCCAGCCUUUUGUCGCCCUUUUCUCUGCCUUCCCUGUCUCCCACCCACAGGGCUGCUUUCCCUGCCAUGUCCCACCUACUGCUACCUGGUCCUGCCCGCUACCUUCUGCCCUGCUACCAGAUGCCCGUGCCACUGCUCAGUCCACUCAGUGCUUGGCUCAGUUUCCCACUGACUGGUUCCUCCCAUGGGUCUACUUUUCUGGUCCCCGUGGCUAGCCCACAGCCUACCCUGCUGACCUCACACCCCCUCGCCUCUGGCCCCUGGUGGGUGUUCCCCAUGGCCUGUCUCCUGCUCAGCCCUGCUAACUGCUGGGUUUGGGGGUUACCCCUAGGACCUUGUCCCUGCACCUCUUCCAUCUCGGUCACCCCCUCUGCUUCCCUGUGAGCUGCCUCACUUCACUGAAAAGCCAGUGGCAGGUGAGCUGCAUCCUUGGCACAAGCACCGUGAUCCAGCCUGCACAGCCAAAAGACUGCGAUGCACAGAUGAACCCCUCAACGCCCUCGGAUUCCCUGGGACCCCUACCUUGUGCGGACGACAUGUUGCCUCCCCGGCGGAUCGUGUCGGAGCCCUCAUCAGGAAUCCCAGGAGGGAAGUGACUGCAGACAUCUGAGCCCAGCAUGCCUUGCCCCUCUGCUUGGAAUCCCUCUGCGGCCACAGGACGCCCCGCACAGCUGCCCGCGGCACAGGCUGGACCCCGAGACUCUGCACCUGGGCCUACCCCGAGUGGAGAGCCACCCUCUGACUGAUGGACUUCGCUGCCCCGGGGGUCUCACUCCUGUCCACGCCCCCCGUGAACCCCGGGAGUCAGCUGCACAGGCCUCGCCCCUGUCCACAUCGCGCGUGAGCCCCAGGACUCAGGAACUGCUGAACCGUCUCUGUCCUCGUCCGUGCGAGGGGCCGGGACACCUACCUCACAGGGCUGUUGUGAGGCUGCUGUGAUGUGGCUAGGAGCACGGUGCCUGGCACCCCCCAUGUGCUCUUAAUAAAUGUGUUUCUUGUCAUA